GAUGAACGCUGGCGGCGUGCCUAAUACAUGCAAGUCGAGCGAACAGAUGAGGAGCUUGCUCCUCUGACGUUAGCGGCGGACGGGUGAGUAACACGUGGAUAACCUACCUAUAAGACUGGGAUAACUUCGGGAAACCGGAGCUAAUACCGGAUAAUAUAUUGAACCGCAUGGUUCAAUAGUGAAAGACGGUUUUGCUGUCACUUAUAGAUGGAUCCGCGCCGCAUUAGCUAGUUGGUAAGGUAACGGCUUACCAAGGCAACGAUGCGUAGCCGACCUGAGAGGGUGAUCGGCCACACUGGAACUGAGACACGGUCCAGACUCCUACGGGAGGCAGCAGUAGGGAAUCUUCCGCAAUGGGCGAAAGCCUGACGGAGCAACGCCGCGUGAGUGAUGAAGGUCUUCGGAUCGUAAAACUCUGUUAUUAGGGAAGAACAAGUGUGUAAGUAACUAUGCACGUCUUGACGGUACCUAAUCAGAAAGCCACGGCUAACUACGU
rnacentral:rRNA from 1 species